rnacentral:lncRNA from 1 species
AGCAUAAAUCAGCCUUAACUGUGAUUGUACAAGCUGCCCACCACAAUACAUGUCUUGGUUUAGCUCUUUUGUUAGCAUUAGCAUUUAGAAAAUAUUGCUUUUCAUCCGGAGGCAUUAUGAUGAGCUUUUGCUACAACUUCCUCACAUUUUAGAGACUAAAUAAUACAAAAAUAUAGAUAUCUCUGAACACCAAAGACUUCUCCAACACAAACAUUUAUAUAAACAAACAUGUAUAUAAUAGUUAUGGUCUGUUUUAUAUCCAUUUAACAGUCUCGCCUCUGUUAAAGGCCUAAACUUGCAUCAUUAACAAGUUAACUCUGCAGAUUUAACUUUUAAUGCUGACAGGAUUUAAGGAGGAGGAAUAAAAACGACCAAACAGACGAGUUAAAAAAAGCAUAAACUUAACAAACAAGUAAUGAAUGUGUUCAGUCCUCUAGAUUGAGUUCUGGGUAAAUUUCUGUCAGGAGUUUUUUGGGGAAGGUGACGUCACUCACAUAUUUGACAGAUUCGGUUCCUCUGGCUCCUCACGCUCUGACCCAGACUGCGACACAUUCACUGAAAACUCAAUGAAAAGGGAAGACUGAACCGAGUAAACACCAAACAGAGCAUUAACAGAGUCUCAGGCCUUUCUUCACACUCAGCCUCGAACAAAGCGCUCUUUUGUCGCCUCGCAGCAGGCGGCGUAAACAAGGAGCAGACUUCACCCGGGCUGCCAGACCUCGGUGUGCUUCAGCCCCGUUUAUGAAAAUGUAAAAAGUCAUGAAGCCGAGCAAACGUCACGCCUUGAAGGAGUCAUGUCUGCGUGUGUGUCAUCAGGAGAACCAGCGUCUGUUUUCAGGCCUCGUCGUGCUGGAGUACAGUAACAAACAUCUACUGUCUGAGAAGCAGAGCAGCAUGGAAAUCCCUCGGGCGAGUGGAGGGGGGUGUGGUUCGGUUGGGUGGGGGGGGGAUUUGCUUAAUUAUGCAUAAGAUCUGACAAUAAAUUCCAAAUCCCUCCAGUCUCCUGGGCUUCGGUUAAAUGGGAAUAGUCUUUUAAUAUUGCUGCAGGGGCUGUUUUCCCCUCACAGGAUGCUGCAUUUUGCUUUCUCUUUUAUUCGGCAUGAAAAGAAACAAUCAGAACGGCUCUGAAUGGCGCUCUCUCAUUGAUUUGAUAUAAAAGAAGGUGGUGCCAUUCAUCCAUUAAGAGCCCGGACUGAUGAGAGUCUUUGUGAGAGAGGCGUCAAAACACCGCUCCACCAAUAAAAGCUUUUUAACAGUCAGUGUAAUCUGCUUUAUUUCAUUAGGAAAUCAUCUUUUCAUCUUUUUUUGGACCGAUCAAAAAGUCAGAAACAUCAAAUUUAACAGGUUAGAUCACUGGCUCACAAGCUGAAGCAAAAACACCACAGAGGAGGACUGAAACUAUGUGGAGCGGCGUGUUUGGACUUGUCGGCUACAGUAGACCCCUACGCUUGCUGUGGUUAGCCGUAGGUCCAACACAGAGAUCAGGCAUGCCUCCUACACUCUCCCUAAACUGAAGGACCUGAGGUUUUAAAGCCACGGGAGAGAGGUCAAAGGUCACAAUUAAGCCGCUGAGAGUAACAGCGUGAUUACAACAAUAAGAGUUUUGUUUUAACGCCGUCUUAAUAAGGGGAUAAAAAGUGUUUCUGAAUAAAGAGAGUGCUUUUAUUUCACUUUAUUAAUCUAUGAUGACGGAUCCUUUAACGCCACUAUCACUGACCAUCACAGAGGAAUAAAUGGAGGGCAGAUAAAUAAAUAAUCACCAGGUGUUUGUGUUAAAUACUCCAUUCUGAUUGGUUAAGCCCUGGAAACCCCAAUUAUGACGUUAAUUAACUCAAAGUCAACGCCAGACACGAGCUGAUGAUGAACAGCAUGGGAAGAAGUUUCCAUUAGCAUCAGAGGUAAACACUGUGGGGGAAAUCGCAGUUUCCGUUAGCAUGGUAGGCUAAACAAUAUGACGUUCUAAUAGUGGAUUCUAGGGCUGGGCGAUACGGCCUCAAAUCAAUAUCACAAUAUAUUGAUCAGUUCACCUCAAUAACAAUAAAUGGACGAUAACUACUCCACAAGCUGCUCACCCCCUCCUACAUUAACUUUGUCUACUUCAGCCGCUCCAACUUUUGAACCGUCCUCCAUCUCCUCACCUGUCUUUCACUCUUUGUUACAGACUGGAUGGGGUGGAGUCACGUCUCUGAUGUAGGACAGCGUCUUAAAGGGACAUGAGACCAUAGCCUACCUACACACAUCCAAAAACAACUUUGAUUUAUUUAUUUUUUUGACACUGAAUAUACCGACAUGGGCAAAAUGAUGUCGGUUAUUGUCUUAAAUUUCAGUAUCAGUAAAUUUUCAGUUUAUCGCCCAGCCCUAGACAGAUCUUGUCCUGCAAUCCAGGCGAGGGAGUCAACAAUUUUUUUUAAAUAUUAAGGCGUGUCAACUGCAAACUCAGAGAAGAAGAAGAAGAAAUGAAUGAUACUUGGAAAAGACCCGCUAACUGUUUAGUUUAUUCUAAGUUAGGGUGACCAUAUUCUGAACCCCCAAACAGAGCAAAUGACUAUACAGGGGCGGAGUCACAUAGUCAUGCAUAGUUAAUUUUGAGAGUUUUUUGGGUUGGAUUGGGUGUUUUAUACCUGCUUCUAACUCAGAAAGUCCAUGUGACACAAACUCAAACCUUCCAUACAAAACCCGGACAUUUGAAGGAUUUUAUAAACUUCCCCGGACAAGGCCGGACAAAAAGAGGAAAUGUUCAGGUAUUACUAGGUGCUAGCAUGCUAAUGAUCUCACUUGACCCUUUACUGAAAUGUUAACUUUGGUUUUUGCCGACUGCUGAAUCAGAUGAACUGUUUUUUAAUCAACUAAGUCAUCAUUAAAUCAACAUUUGGUGCUGAAAUAUAAGAAACUUUAGCUGGUAGGUGGAUAAACGAGAGAAAGCUUUUGAGACUCGGUGCGUCGAGGUCUUGCAAAAAUGAUGAAAAAGCAUCAAUAUGUGAAUUUCGGUCUAUCUUAUAAACAUCACAGGAGCUUUUAGAGUAUAUUACUAAAAAAUUAAAUUUAAGGGUGGAUGUGAACUGAGCAGAGACCCUCAGUUGAUGCAUUUAGAGGCGCUCCUGCUGACCCCCUCUGCGAAGAACAACAGGUGCAGGACUGCAGGAAGAAAUCCUUCUGUUUUUAUUGCAUUUGCAUGAGCGUUUAACGUUUAAAGACUACGUGUUGAAUGCCUGCGCGCUCUGUUCACGUGUGCCAAAGAGGAUUGAGUCAAGUUUGCUCUGAGUUGAGUCUAAAUUCCAUCAAACAGACUUAAACUCGGCCCUCUCCGACCUCAUCCAGAGAGAUUUUGGUUUGAUAGCGUAUCAGUGAAACAAAAACGCAGGUUGAGAGGACUUCUGAUUAAUCCGAGUCUUUUUGUUUUCUUUGAAGAGGGAACAGCAGAUGUAUUCAGGGACAGCCAGUGCUUGUGAGUUAGCAGGGAGUGUACACAAGUGAGCGAGAGCGAGUGCAUGUGAUCCCAAAGUCUGCCUAGUGGAUGUAUUCUUUCAUCUCAAUGCUCUUUAUGUAAUUACUACGGGGAGAAAAGUGGGAUCGAGGAUUUGGCUCCUGCGUCAGCAGCCACCAAUCGUAGUAUAAUCCAGCCUUGCUUGUUCUGUCCAGAUUAUCAACAUCUAUUCCCUAAUCUUAUUCGCCAAACGCUGUGAUGACAUUCCAUCUGGGGCUUGUACACAACACGGGUGCAGCAAUGACAAGACAGGACAGACUGGUCAAACAACUGCUGCUGCUGCUAACCCUCCGAGCACUUCUCUGAUCCUGUCUCAACAAAUCCCUCUGCUGUGGGAAAACAGCAGAAAAUCUCCACGCCGCACUCACACACUCUGAUUAAGUAACUUAGCGCUCGUUAUGCGCCACAACAGGUGAGACACUUCCUGCUUCAGGUUUCUGUUCUCCUUUAACAGACGUGGAAAGAGGAAACGGCCGCUGCGUGGACGUGUUUACAGGUUUCAGCCGCACUUCCCGUUUACUUAAAGGUUGAUCAUUACAAAGAGGGAGGAUGAGGUUACACAGCAGAGAGAGAGAGUAGAGAAGCUCCUGUCGUUUCACCUCUUUAGUACCGAGUCUGAAUAAAGAGGUAAACACACGCCCCCGCUGGCAGGACUUUGCUGAUUCCUGGAUAAAGCGUGUGUACAGAUCCCCCCUGUGCUCCUGUCACGGGCCGACACAGGGAUGGGGAGGUGCUGAAGUCAAUAUUUACCGCCCCACACACACACACGCAGCCCUGCAGUUGCCAUGGCUGCGAUUCCAAGCAUUCCUCAAACCAACAAACUGCACAGAUGUAGGAUAGUUGCACACAGAGUUUUCUGGGCCAAAACACUGCAUGCCGAUCUGAUGAAGAAAAAGGCGAGAUUAGCAACGGCUCCGUCUCUCUGAAUUAUGCGGGGUGUCUGUCACUUCCUGAAAGCACUUUGGGAGAGAACCAGAGGAAAAGAUGGAGGGCGGGUUCAACGGCGAGAGGGAGGAAAGGUAGAGUCCAAUAAAAACAUCAUGUUUACCCCACUUUCCCAGAAGCCUGCAGUGUUUUGUCGGCUAUAAUAGGAUCAGAGGCUGUGAGCCCUGAUCCCUUUCACUCUGCGCUCAUGUGUGUGUGUGGAUUUCUCACCAGUGGGGUCCUGUUUAAAAAAGAAAGCUCAGAUCACCUUUUGUUUGCCAAUAGCUGCGGCUAACGUGACCUUAAAAUCAUAUGACAUCCCUGAGCUGGUUUGAGCUCAGCAGCUGGCCGCUCCAUCUUAAACCCCCCGUGCUUACAGAGGAAUUUUUUUUGUGUCCACGUCCAAACAACAAACAGCGCUGGCACCGAGCGAAGGUUCCUGGAUUUUCUGUUAUCCCCUGUUCCUAAUCUGAGUAUGACAUACAUCAAAUUAUUUUGGGAUUGAGGCUCAGGAAGAAAGUAUCUGGGCCAUUUUAGAUGAGCUGAUGUCUUGGAUUUAGCAAAAUGGAAGCAGUGAAGAAAACGGAGAAAAGGACCGGAACAUGGAAUAAAAGAUCUGACUCAGAAGAUCAGAUCGAAGUUCAUGUACGGAUGCGGAAUACAAGACUUAAAGACUGUCCGCCACCUGGUGCAUCCAAAGAAGAGGCAUUUGAAGCGAGGUGCUAGUUCAGGCAGGCCAUAAGAUACAUCAGCUGAUCUUAACGCCUAUAUCAGCUGAUGGAUCAGAUAACUACCUUCUUCGCAUCCAAUUUGCAAAUGUCUUGUUUUCUUUUGAUUCUCCAGCAUCAUAUAGAUCUUCACUUGUACCUGCUCUGUUCAGUAACCCAAGUGUCUUUGCUGCUGCUCUCCCUGCCUAAGCUUAUGCCUGUCAUUUACGCUCGCCAUACAUUUGAAAAUGUAUGCAUCCGUUUCAAACGAUGGUUCCGCCACUGCUGACAACAACAAACCAUGUGUCGACUUUACGUUGGCAUGAUGUAUGUAUAGGAGGCAGAAACGGAGGUAACGUUGAAGGAGGCCGUGGUCGGUCAGGCCACUAAAUGCCUCGCGGUUGGAGGAUGGAGAAUUCUUUUCACUAGUCGUACCGUUAAGAGAAAUUGACGAUGAUCCUCAAAAGGCCCCGCCAUUGUCUUCUUCGCUUAUCUCUACAGAUGCGUAUUGGGAAGUGACAGCAGCAACACUGCCCCCUCGGUUUCUGGUGGUACUGCUCCAUCCAGCCCGUAUCCGCAAACUUCAAGGAUACUCGCAGAAUUAUGGACGAAAAGAACGCAAAGCAAGGACGGUGAGCUCCGUGCUUCUCUGGAUCCGUAUGUAACGUUGAGCAUAAAUGAGCCUUUGGACACGUGGAUGGGCAGGGAGCUUAGCGUUCAUCACUCCACAGGAAAAUCUAACAAGAUAAUAUCUGAAAAAAGGACUUUUCUUUUCUUCAUGCAAAGCUAAAGCUGCUUAAAUACAUCAAGAUAGUUCACCAAAUCUAGAGGAAAGUCAGCAGAGAUCUGGUUGUGUUUUUAGGCAAAGACGACUCCAUCUAAAGUCUGUUAUAAUACAGUUUUGUUUUAUCUGUAAAAAUAAGAAAGUAGAAGAUCCGGACUGUUUUUAGCUGCAUAAUCAAACAAACUGAUGAAUAAGUUUUUAAGAUUUAAGGGAGAAGAUGCUUUAGAUCUAAUUUUGUUGACCUCAGAUGGACUGUUUUCAUCUGUUUGGUUUGAAAACUAAAACGUCUCGAACCUUCAGUCUCAGGGUCGCUCACAUUAUUCCCAUAUUAUGUCUGUCUCUGAUAACAGCGUCUGUAAUGAUCGACUGCAGGGCCACCUUCAACCGCAGCGCUUCAUCCAAAAAAACAGAAUUAAGGAUGAUUUCAACUGCGUAUUUUCCACCCUCACUCGUCGGGACAGUCGGGGAGAGAGACAGGAAAUGAGGGGAGGGAGCGAGGAAUGACAGGCAGUAAAUACUGACGGAGCCUGGAAUCAAUCCCACGACCGGUGCAGCCUCCAUAAAUCGGACACUCACUCCACCGAUGAACCAAAACAUCAUCCUAAAGCCAUAACUCCGACUCUGCUGAUUGAGAUGUCAGAGUCGGACUUUUGGUGUAGAGAAUAUUCUCAGUAAAAUGAAAAGUUGAAGUGUUUCUCUCCCUCCCUUAUCUGUUUUUUCUCUCUCCUCCACCCUCCCCA